rnacentral:misc_RNA from 1 species
GGAAAUUAUAGCAAAUACCACAUUAUCAUUUUCAAAAUAACAAUUGCAAUUGGGAUGUAAGUAGUCCAACAGAGAACAAUACAUCUUGGGAUUUCACAAUUACAAGGUGGUAACAGAGGCCAUCUGGGCUCCAUAACCUCUCUUUCAAAUCAAAAGUUUCAAAACAAGAAAAGAGUAAUAACAUAGUUCAGCAUUGGACAAGCAGCAACCUUUGCCAAAUGAACGAUAAGUAGCAGAAAGGGAAGAAACCCGAACAAUACAAUCACUUAAGAGUCUGGUAGACUUUCAUUUUAUUUAGCAGCAGAUAUUAUACCCGUUUGUUUCUCGUAUACAAACUCUCCAGCAGUAAAUGGUUGUUUCUCUCCGGAUUGGAUACUUCUCUUUACGUGCAGCGGGGCCGCCCCUACUUUAAUCUCAUAUGCUUCUGGUUGGUCCAACAAAAACUCUUUCAACUCGAUAGAGUCUUGACCUUUCUCCAUAGUAAACAUGAUUGUGCUCACAUCAACACUCAUGAACUUUGCCUCGAUUGCUCCAGUUCUUGCUAGUUUGGUCCAUCUCAUCGCUAUUUCAGUAACUUUCUCCUGAGUCCGACGAGUUCCAAGUCGGAGUUUAACAAACCCAAAAACCGGACCCAGCUGCCGCUUCAUCAUUUCCGCUUGAAUUUCCGACGGACUCAUCGUAUCAAAAUCCGUCGGCGGCGGAUCGAAAUCGGAGCUAGUCGAUUUCUUCCUUCCCCAUUCUCUCCAAGCCUCGUCC